rnacentral:rRNA from 1 species
UACGGAGGGGGCUAGCGUUGUUCGGAAUUACUGGGCGUAAAGCGCACGUAGGCGGAUCAGUUAGUCGGGGGUGAAAUCCCGGGGCUCAACCCCGGAACUGCCUUCGAUACUGCUGGUCUGGAGGUCGAGAGAGGUGAGUGGAAUUCCGAGUGUAGAGGUGAAAUUCGUAGAUAUUCGGAGGAACACCAGUGGCGAAGGCGGCUCGCUGGCUCGAUACUGACGCUGAGGUGCGAAAGCUAGGGGAGCAAACGGG